rnacentral:rRNA from 1 species
GAUGAACGCUGGCGGCGUGCCUAAUACAUGCAAGUCGAGCGAAUGGAUUAAGAGCUUGCUCUUAUGAAGUUAGCGGCGGACGGGUGAGUAACACGUGGGUAACCUGCCCAUAAGACUGGGAUAACUCCGGGAAACCGGGGCUACUACCGGAUAACAUUUUGAACCGCAUGGUUCGAAAUUGAAAGGCGGCUUCUGCUGUCACCUAUGGAUGGACCCGGGUGGGAUUAGCUAGUUGGUGAGGUAACGGCUCACCAAGGCAACGAUGCGUAGCCGACCUGAGAGGGUGAACGGCCACACUGGGACUGAGACACGGCCCAGACUCCUACGGGAGGCAGCAGUAGGGAAUCUUCCGCAAUGGACGAAAGUCUGACGGAGCAACGCCGCGCGAGUGAUGAAGGCUUUCGGGUCGUAAAACUCUGUUGUUAGGGAAGAACAAGUGCUAGUUGAAUAAGCUGGCACCUUGACGGUACCUAACCAGAAAGCCACGGCUAACUACGUGCCAGCAGCCGCCGUAA